rnacentral:tRNA from 1 species
GCGCCCGUAGUCUCAGGGGAUAGAGGGUCGGAAUGCGGUUCCGAAGGUCGGGGGUUCGAAUCCUCCCGGGCGUG